rnacentral:lncRNA from 1 species
CCCAACUGAAGGGAAGCUGGGAAGUGUCUCUGUGUGUCCAAGUGGCAAAGUCACUGGGGUUUAGGACAUGCGUGGGUCAAUAUUGUAAGGCUGACCUCUUUUCUGUAUUUUGUUUCUUCUCCAGGAGACUUCUUGGCAUCAUCACGAAAAAGGAUGUUUUGAGACAUAUGGCCCAGAUGGCAAACCAGGACCCUGAAUCCAUCAUGUUUAAUUAGAAACAAGGUGGCAUUUAUUUUGAGAGAAACACAACUGUGUCAUUUUAAAAGAAAUAAACAAAUGAUAUGUUAUUAUCCUAAUGAACGAUUAUACGCUAGGGGCAGUGGAAAGAAAAGCUUUGUUUGAACGAAAGGAGGAUAAAACCUGGUGUGUGUGUGUGUUUUUUUUUAAAGACAUCCACGAGUAGGCAUUUUAUAGCUUUAACCCCUUGUGAGUUUCCAGCUGUGUUUCUUAAUGAGUUUAUUAACUGCCGUGGGAGCAUGUGGGUGGGUGUAAACGAUGUGGUUUGUACAAGGACACAGAACACAAAUGCUGAGUCAAGAAACGCUUGCCCCUUCUGUUUUAAGGCUGUUUGGGAAGCUUUGAGUCUAAGAGGCCGAGGGGUAUUGGCCCGUCAGCAUCUUUAUUUAUUGGUUCCCGAAGUGUUGCUGCUAUUUUACUGAAUUGGAUUAAAGAUGUUUGCACUGACUUUGUCGGAAAAGAAAAAGAAAUUAAAUCUGAACCGAGUGAAAGCUGCACGAAUGCCAGUGGGCCCACUCGUGACCAUCCCGUUGUCUUGCUCCCGCUCUCAUCCGUCUGUGCACCAACAUCCGGGGGCUUCUGCUCCGCUGACUGUGAGAAACCCUUUCUCGGUGCAGCACCAGCAUCUCGGGGCCACACCGUGAACUCACUGCUCGAGCGUUUAGUGCUCCGCGGGUUUCCUCCCGCACGAAGGGACCCGCCGCGAUUUUGAGGGUAUACGCACCUGCUCAUGGUUUCGCGUCCCUGUUGUAUGUACCUCACUUGUUGAUCGCCGUGGCCUGUGCAUUCUUAAAUAUUGAUCAGUCCGGCACUUUCCACGGGCCAUAUCCUGUAUGCUGCCAGCUUGCCGUAAGCGUGCUUCAAUUUCCAGAUAGCGUACGUGAGAGUCAAAGCUGGCCACCCAGUGUUACUACUUAUUUUUCCUCUCAGCUCUUAUUAAAUACGGCUGCAGGGAGGGUGAGGCAUACGAAGUCUCAGUGGGAACUCCUCCAAAUGGAUUGCGAGAGAAAUGCUAAAUUGAUUCUAAAUCUGUUCCAUUAUCUUCUCUGUAGGAUGCAUAACGUCCGGCUCUAAUGUCUGAGCGCGCGCUUUCAUGCUCGCAGUCAAAGCACAGAAGGGCAGAGUUAAAUUGGAGACCGCCACUUGGAGCACUGGGCACCUUCGUGUUGAACUUAACGGUGCAUUUGUCCCUUUAGUCGGGACUCGGCUCUUUUCUGUGAGAAGGAACCGAGCUGCGGUUCCGGUCCGCUGUGGCACCGGUGUGAGUACAUCCGCUCCCGGGAGCCUGUCACGUGUGUCCCCGCUCCCCCCUUCUCACCGAGUGGCCCGUGCCCUUUGCGAUCUCGGUCUCGGAUAUUGACGUGCCAGGUGUGUGUCUGGCGGCCGGAGAGAAAUCCCACGAACGGUGAUGAGCUGAACGAGAAACCGGGGGUCGGGCACUCUCGCGUGUCUCCACAUUACCACCCAGCAGCCGUACGCUUUGCCAUUGUUGUCUGCCGUCCUUCGUCCUCUGGCUUCUAGCCUCAGAGUCACAGGCCGGGCUCUCUGUUACCCGGCUGCCGUCCAGGCCGUCGGCUUCCUAGGCACGAAGCGGGAGGAGGAGACACGUAGCAAGGUGCGAUGCCUGUGCCCAGGAAGCAGAACUUGCCCACAGGUGCCCAGCUGAUGUCCACUGGCUGGACUUUGGUCCCGCGACUCCCCCUGGCUGCACGUGAGUGUGGGAAGGAGAAGUUUUAGUGAGGCCUGGUACUCUCUGAAUGAACUUUGGAUUCUUCUAACAAGGAAGAGGGACUGGUCCUUGGGAGGGAAGACUGUCCCCUGGAUUGGAUGCCAUCAUCAUGUCUCUAUUGGUGUCCUCCCUGUCCUCCUUACUCUCUUUCUUGCCACACCCUCCAGACAUUGUCCUACUCACCGAGCGGUUCCCCACCCCUUCUCUCAGACCUGACCUAGAACUCCCAGUCGGAAGCCAUCAUUUCUCAGCCCUCGUAAAAAUGCUCAUCUUGUAUAAAAACCUAGCGACUAGCGGGUUUCUGUGAAACUGGUUGAUACAAGAAAAUGUACUGCUGUGUCCUCUGGGUUCAAAAAAGUGAAGUCAGAUCGUGCUGACAAACACUGGAAAAUUUGUUUCUGUGAUCGCUUGGCCCCCUCCAGAAUGAUAUCAAAUAGCCACUUCAGUGUGGAAACACUGGUCAGUACUAGAGAAUUUGAUCUUGGUGUCCCGUUCACGGCACGUUAAGUGUCGAGUCACAGAUCCCAAUAUUAUUGUUGUUACUGGGGUUUCCACGGAGCGUGUGCAAGUGAAGCUGGGUUCUCCUGGACUUGAAAUCCUACGAGGUCUUAAAGAUUGCUUCAUGUAGUUCCCGCUAACUCCCGCCUGGCCUCCCGAAAGAGUGUUAGUUACAGCCUGGAUUUGUAUAAUCCAGAAAGCCCCUUCAGCUAAAACUGGGAGCUUCAAAAGGGAACACGAAACCGUGAACGGAUAGCCAAAGGGCAGUGAAACCACAGAACUUCUUCCUCCUCCAGAUGAGGCCAUAGAGGAAUGAAGGGAUAGUUUACUCCAGGCCAAGGUCACCAAGCCGGGGGGGGGGGGGAGGGUUGUGCUCUGUCCUCCUCCCAGGCCUUAGUGUAGAAGAGGUCUGCGAAUUCACGGCAGACCGUUGGGAGUGUUACUUUGACGCAAAUCGCCUUGUUUUCCUUCAUGAGUUGAACCUCUAAUUUGUCGUGGGGUUCAGGCUCUUGGCAACAGAAGGCCAUGGUCAGACAGGCAGGUGAAGGUCAAGGGUGGGAGAAUUUGCAGCGGGGCUGCCAGAGCUGGUUGCCUUCCUCCCAUGGAGCCCGAAGUCCCCUGUGCGGUCCACUCGCCUGCUGGCCCCGGGCUCUCACGCAAACUCCAGGGGGCGCAGGCUUCCGAGCUGUUUGUCGGUCUUUCUUGUACAAGUACGCGGGUCGGGAUUCUGAAGGGAUUUGCUGUAGCCAAAUGUAGAACCUUGUCUAUCUGGCGAUCUGAUGAGCGGGAAGAGUACAACUGGGAUGUGGAAGUAAAAUAAACAUUUCUCAGAACGGUGUGUUUGUUUCUUUUUCCAGAACCAAACCCUUUAGACUUCUGUAGAACUUUCUGGAUCCUUUCUGAAGCAGUGUUUUAUGUAAAGAAACAUAAAUGCGGGACAGAAACGGAGUUCUCUAACAGAGCACAUCAACCUAUUUCUUGCUCCCCCUCUCUGCUAGUAAGGAAACGGGUUGUAGAAGGACAGACAUCAUAAAGAACAUCCCGAGAGGGACACAUGGAUUUCUCGCGUGUUUCGGUGCACCCCCCGGGAGUGCGGGUGCGUGGGUGGCAUUUAUGGGAAGGUAAAUGUGUUAGAAGCAAUCAGUACUCGGUGUUCGCUGUUCCUCAGAACCAGGCCAGCUCAACUUUCUCUGUUUGGUACUCCCCAAAGACCUUACAAAGGAGAAGACCUCUCAGUAAGAUCUCGUUUUGGCCCCGGUAAGCCACAGAAACUGGGGAAUUGGUUUCACUGAGGGGAGAACUGGUUACUUCGGAUUAUCGACAAGUGCAGAUCUGCUCAGGACUCCUUAUCAGACGCCGAGCUGGAAAAGAUGAGAAACACAAGCCUCUGAAAUGAUUUACACGACGGGGGAGCAUGUAUAUGUGACUUGGGGACAUUAACCAGACUCCAUUUUCGCUGACGCAGUAAUAACUAUUUAUUUGCCGUCCUAGGUGUGCCGGGAAUGAGCCUACAUGCGACUUUUAUGAGAUCUGUUCGCAUUUGGUGUUGGAACGACCACAGAGCAAUGUGGUGGUUUUUUUUUUUUUUAAUUGUAACCCUCUGUGUAAACGUUGGCACCUUACUAAAAAUUAAGUGUUUGAACUUUCCUUUUAAAAAUAAAACGAGCACAGUCUUCAAGCAGCAAGUCGUA